rnacentral:rRNA from 1 species
CCUACGGGAGGCUGCAGUGAGGAAUAUUGGUCAAUGGACGAAAGUCUGAACCAGCCAAGUCGCGUGCAGGAUGACUGCUCUAUGGGUUGUAAACUUCUUUUAUAUGGGAAUAAAACAGGGUAUGCAUAUUCUCUUGUAUGUACCAUAUGAAUAAGGAUCGGCUAACUCCGUGCCAGCAGCCGCGGUAAUACGGAGGAUCCGAGCGUUAUCCGGAUUUAUUGGGUUUAAAGGGAGCGUAGGUGGAUUGUUAAGUUAGUGGUGAAAUGUUGCGGCUCAACGGGGAAAUUGCAGUUGAAACUGGCAGUCUAGAGAGUAGAAGAGGUAGGCGGAAUGUGUGGUGUAGCGGUGAAAUGCUUAGAGAUCAUGAAGAACACCGAUUGCGAAGGCAGCUUACUGGACUAUAACUGACACUGAGGCACGAAAGUGUGGGGAGCAAACAGGAUUAGAUACCCCUGUAGUC